CAGCCGUAAACAAUGUACGUUAGGUGUGUCGGUAACCACGCGUUACUGAUGCGCCGAAGAGAAAUCGUGAAACGCACCACCUGGGAAGUACGGUCGCAAGGCUGAAACUUAAAGGAAUUGGCGGGGGAGCACCACAACAGGUGGAGCCUGCGGUUUAAUUGGAUUCAGCGCCGGACAUCUCACCGGAUAAGACAGCUGAAUGAUUGUCAAUCUGAAGGUUUUUACAUGACUAGCUGAGAGGUGGUGCAUGGCGUAGACGUCU
rnacentral:rRNA from 1 species